GACGUAGGGCGCGAGCGUUGUCCGGAUUUAUUGGGCGUAAAGAGCUCGUAGGCGGCUUGUCGCGUCGUCCGUGAAAACCUGCAGCUCAACUGCAGGCUUGCGGUCGAUACGGGCAGGCUAGAGUUCGGUAGGGGAGACUGGAAUUCCUGGUGUAGCGGUGAAAUGCGCAGAUAUCAGGAGGAACACCGGUGGCGAAGGCGGGUCUCUGGGCCGAUACUGACGCUAAGGAGCGAAAGCGUGGGGAGCGAACAGG
rnacentral:rRNA from 1 species